GACGAACGCUGGCGGCGUGCCUAACACAUGCAAGUCGAGCGGAGGCAUCGGAAGAGCAAUCGGAAGAUGCCUGAGCGGCGGACGGGUGAGUAACGCGUGAGCAACCUGCCUUUCACAGGGGGAUAACGCAGCGAAAGCUGCACUAAUACCGCAUGAGACCACGGCGGAGAUACCGCAGAGGUCGAAAGGAGCAAUCCGGUGAGAGAUGGGCGUCGCGUCCGAUUAGGUAGUUGGUGAGGUAAAGGCCCACCAAGCCAAUGAUCGGUAGCCGGCCUGAGAGGGUGAACGGCCACAUUGGAACUGAGAGACGGUCCAAACUCCUACGGGAGGCUG
rnacentral:rRNA from 1 species